rnacentral:tRNA from 2 species
GGGGAGGUGCCAGAGUGGACGAUUGGGGCCGCCUGCUAAGCGGUUGCCGGAGUAGAAUUCGGCCCAGGGUUCGAAUCCCUGCCUCCCCG